GCUUAACACAUGCAAGUCGAGCGGGCGAGGUUGCUUCGGUAACUGAGCUAGCGGCGGACGGGUGAGUAAUGCUUAGGAAUCUGCCUAUUAGUGGGGGACAACAUUCCGAAAGGGAUAGCUAAUACCGCAUACGUCCUACGGGAGAAAGCAGGGGAUCACUUGUGACCUUGCGCUAAUAGAUCGAGCCUAAGUCGGAUUAGCUAGUUGGUGGGGUAAAGGCCUACCAAGGCGACGAUCUGUAGCGGGUCUGAGAGGAUGAUCCGCACACUGGGACUGAGACACGGACCAGACUCCUACGGGAGGCAGCA
rnacentral:rRNA from 1 species